rnacentral:snRNA from 1 species
GUCUCUUCAGAGACAUUUGAUAAAAUUGGAACGAUACAGAGAAGAUUAGCAUGUCCCCUGUGUGAGGAUAGCAUGCACAAAUUGACAAAUGGUCUAAAUUUUU